rnacentral:rRNA from 1 species
AACGAACGCUGGCGGCAGGCUUAACACAUGCAAGUCGAGCGCCCCGCAAGGGGAGCGGCAGACGGGUGAGUAACGCGUGGGAAUCUACCCAUCUCUACGGAAUAACGCAUGGAAACGUGUGCUAAUACCGUAUACGUCCUUCGGGAGAAAGAUUUAUCGGAGAUGGAUGAGCCCGCGUUGGAUUAGGUAGUUGGUGGGGUAAAGGCCUACCAAGGCGACGAUCCAUAGCUGGUCUGAGAGGAUGAUCAGCCACACUGGGACUGAGACACGGCCCAGACUCCUACGGGAGGCAGCAGUGGGGAAUAUUGGACAAUGGGCGCAAGCCUGAUCCAGCCAUGCCGCGUGAGUGAUGAAGGCCCUAGGGUUGUAAAGCUCUUUCACCGGUGAAGAUAAUGACGGUAACCGGAGAAGAAGCCCCAGCUAACUUCGCGCCAGCCGCCGCCGUAAGAC